GAUGAACGCUGGCGGCGUGCUUAACACAUGCAAGUCGAACGGGAAACCUUUUAUUGAAGCUUCGGCAGAUUUAGCUGGUUUCUAGUGGCGGACGGGUGAGUAACGCGUGGGUAACCUGCCCUAUACAGGGGGAUAACAACCAGAAAUGGUUGCUAAUACCGCAUAAGCGCACAGGGCCGCAUGGUCCGGUGUGAAAAACUCCGGUGGUAUAGGAUGGACCCGCGUUGGAUUAGCCAGUUGGCAGGGUAACGGCCUACCAAAGCGACGAUCCACAGCCGGCCUGAGAGGGUGAACGGCCACAUUGGGACUGAGACACGGCCCAGACUCUUACGGGAGGCAGCAGUGGGGAAUAUUGCACAAUGGGGGAAACCCUGAUGCAGCGACGCCGCGUGAAGGAAGAAGUAUCUCGGUAUGUAAACUUCUAUCAGCAGGGAAGAUAGUGACGGUACCUGACGAAGAAGCCCCGGCUAACUACGUG
rnacentral:rRNA from 1 species